ACUCUUUCUCUCAUAUGAGAACUCGAAAGCAGUAGACUUGAACCAAUACCGAUUAGACUGAAAUAAAUGAAUCAGGCUUCUACUAUAAAGUAAGAGAAUGCAAACCGUAGGCAAUAGAACCAAACUCGGCGGUAGGUUGCUCCUUUCUCUAUUACUUGUUUGAUGCUAGUAGGUUGUUCCUUUCUCUAUUACUUGUUUGAUGCUAACAGUAGCAUAGCAGUGUUUAGUCUUAGAGGCGCUAAGUCACAUUCUUAGAGGUUAUAGUCAAUUCUUAUAGUUAUGAGCUCAAUUACAUCGACCCUUGUUCCCGGGUUCAGUCCAAGAAGUACUAUGGCUGCAUUAGAAUAAGUAUUUGUCGUAGAAUGAGAUAGAGCACAAAGGGAGACUCAAAGCCAGUAAGAGCGGACUGAUAUGGUAGGUAGUUCUGGUGACUAAUAGGUGCAAAUACGGUAAUAAAAGGGAAAAUAGACACUUAGUUACAGGAAAGACGGAGUGAAAGGAUCUGAAUCCGGAGUUACAGAAACAAAGUAAGUAGUCGGUUUCCCUGUUGCUAGUUUAAGUACUGUUAGCACUAGGCUUUCAGCACGUUAUGUCAAAGAGAAAGUCUUACCGACAAUAGUGUGUCAGUUUGAGAAACAGUAGUUACAGGGUUUUAGGUAUGGGAGCGGCAGACUAACAACUAGACAUGGGAAUUCGAAUAAGUAAUGUUAGUUUGAAGCUACAACUGCAGGAGUGAAAGAAGAGUUAGGUGCUCCAGAAACAAGUCUAGGUUUGGAUACCUGG
rnacentral:lncRNA from 1 species